rnacentral:rRNA from 1 species
GUGCCUUUAGGUUCGGAAUAGCUCCUGGAAACGGGUGGUAAUGCCGAAUGUGCCCUUCGGGGGAAAGAUUUAUCGCCUUUAGAGCGGCCCGCGUCUGAUUAGCUAGUUGGUUGAGGUAACGGCUCACCAAGGCGACGAUCAGUAGCUGGUCUGAGAGGAUGACCAGCCACAUUGGGACUGAGACACGGCCCAAACUCCUACGGGAGGCAGCAGUGGGGAAUCUUGCGCAAUGGGCGAAAGCCUGACGCAGCCAUGCCGCGUGAAUGAUGAAGGUCUUAGGAUUGUAAAAUUCUUUCACCGGGGACGAUAAUGACGGUACCCGGAGAAGAAGCCCCGGCUAACUUCGUGCCAGCAGCCGCGGUAAUACGAAGGGGGCUAGCGUUGCUCGGAAUUACUGGGCGUAAAGGGCGCGUAGGCGGACAUUUAAGUCAGGGGUGAAAUCCCAGAGCUCAACUCUGGAACUGCCUUUGAUACUGGGUGUCUUGAGUGUGAGAGAGGUAUGUGGAACUCCGAGU